rnacentral:rRNA from 1 species
GACGAACGCUGGCGGCGUGCUUAACACAUGCAAGUCGAGCGAGGCCCCUCCUCCUGGGGGGUGUCCUAGCGGCGAACGGGUGAGUAACACGCGGGCAACCUGCCCCCUGCUCUGGGAUAACUCCGGGAAACCGGGGCUAUUAUCGGAUACGACCUCUCCGGGCACCUGCGGUGGUGGAAAGUUUUUCGGCUGAGGAUGGGCCCGCGGCCUAUCAGCUAGUUGGUGGGGUAGUGGUCCACCAAGGCGACGACGGGUAGCCGGCCUGAGAGGGCGACCGGCCACACUGGGACUGAGACACGGCCCAGACUCCUACGGGAGGCAGCAGUGGGGAAUAUUGCGCAAUGGGCGGAAGCCUGACGCAGCGACGCCGCGUGAGGGACGAAGGCCUUCGGGUUGUAAACCUCUUUCGGCAGGGACGAAGCGAAAGUGACGGUACCUGCAGAAGAAGCACCGGCCAACUACGUG